rnacentral:tRNA from 1 species
GAAGCUUUAGCUUAAUUAAAGUGUCUGUUUUGCAUGCAGAAGAAAUGGGUUAAAAACCUGUAAGUUUUA